rnacentral:tRNA from 2 species
GCGCCUGUAGUUCAAUGGUAGAACUGUAGCCUUCCAAGCUACUAGUGUCAGUUCGAUUCUGACCAGGCGCU